ensembl:lncRNA
UUUUCACAGGUCUAGAUGAUCACAUCUGUCUUUGUCAUUUAAAUGAGGUGGACUUGCAAACUUUGCGCUCUUUUGGGUUGAAGCAGAAUUUGCCCGUCUUACAUCUGUUGACCUGAAAGGGUUCCUUUUUGCUGUGCUUGACCAUUAUGGAGAGGUUCGUGGAGCUGUACAAAAUCAAGAGCGGCAUAGGAGGGCUAACUAGGCUCAUAAGAUGCUUCGGUGAUGAUAGCCCUACACAAAAGGAAGAGGACAGAGGACCUCAUUUUCUAAAGGAAGAUCCCUCACACACUUUCAAGACUGUGAAGCCGACAGGUAUUGAAGACACGUUUUCUAAGAGGAUGAAAGUUGGCAUUGCGAUGGUGAAAGAAGAAGACAUCAUCGAUGUGUUGGUUGUCCUUGAGGCGGCAGUAAUCCUGUCUAAUCUGAGGGAUGUCUCAAGUGCCAUUUCCAUGCUGAUGGGCCUUCUUUUUGCCCUCAACAUAGACUAUCCAAAGGAACUUAAGGACAUCUUUGAAGUCAUUCAGAACAUCCUAAUGAACAUUGGUGGAAGGCAGUGCAUCUCACUAGUGCAUGGUCUAAGAAACAGACUCUUGCAGAAAGCCAUGCAGAACUGUAACUGUAUCCCUUAGUGUUAAGGACAGUUUUUAUUUUACUGUUUGUUUUUUUAUUCUUGCAAGUUCUCAUUCUCACUUUUGUAUGUCACUAAAUGACUACACUUUACAUUCCAGAUUAGACAAUUACUCAUUUGUUCAUGGUUUAAGAAACUUAUGUGAACAACAAUAUAAUGGUGG